rnacentral:tRNA from 1 species
AUCUAUAGCUCAGUGGAUAGAGCGUUCGCCUCCGAAGUGAAAGGUCGCUGGUUCGAAUCCAGUUAGGUGC